rnacentral:tRNA from 1 species
AUUUAAAUAGUUUAAUGUAAAAUAUUGAUUUGUGGAAUCAAAGAUAUAUUAUUUAAUAUUUUAAAUA